UACCAGCACCCCGAGUGGUCGGGACGAUUAUUGGGCCUAAAGCAUCCGUAGCCGGUCCUACAAGUCUUCCGUUAAAUCCACCUGCUCAACAGAUGGGCUGCAGAAGAUACUAUAGGGCUAGGAGGCGGGGAGAGGCAAGCGGUACUCAGUGGGUAAGGGUAAAAUCCUCUGAUCCAUUGAAGACCACCAGUGGCGAAGGCGGCUUGCCAGAACGCGCUCGACGGUGAGGGAUGAAAGCUGGGGGAGCAAACCGG
rnacentral:rRNA from 1 species